rnacentral:rRNA from 1 species
UACGUAGGUGGCAAGCGUUGUCCGGAAUUAUUGGGCGUAAAGCGCGCGCAGGCGGCUAUGUAAGUCUGGUGUUAAAGCCCGGGGCUCAACCCCGGUCCGCAUCGGAAACUGCGUAGCUUGAGUGCAGAAGAGGAAAGCGGUAUUCCACGUGUAGCGGUGAAAUGCGUAGAGAUGUGGAGGAACACCAGUGGCGAAGGCGGCUUUCUGGUCUGUAACUGACGCUGAGGCGCGAAAGCGUGGGGAGCAAACAGG